rnacentral:rRNA from 1 species
AUACGGAGGGGGUUAGCGUUGUUCGGAAUUACUGGGCGUAAAGCGCACGUAGGCGGACUGGAAAGUUGGGGGUGAAAUCCCGGGGCUCAACCCCGGAACUGCCUCCAAAACUUCCAAUCUAGAGAUCGAGAGAGGUGAGUGGAAUUCCAAGUGUAGAGGUGAAAUUCGUAGAUAUUUGGAGGAACACCAGUGGCGAAGGCGGCUCACUGGCUCGAUACUGACGCUGAGGUGCGAAAGCGUGGGGAGCAAACAGGAUUAGAUACCCGAGUAGUCC